GACGAACGCUGGCGGCGUGCUUAACACAUGCAAGUCGAACGGUGACCUCGAGAGCUUGCUCUUGAGUGAUCAGUGGCGAACGGGUGAGUAACACGUGAGUAACCUGCCCCAGACUCUGGAAUAACAGUUGGAAACAGCUGCUAAUACCGGUUAUGACACGAACAGGCUUCUGUAUCGUGUGGAAAGUUUUUUCGGUCUGGGAUGGACUCGCGGCCUAUCAGCUUGUUGGUGAGGUAAUGGCUCACCAAGGCGACGACGGGUAGCCGGCCUGAGAGGGCGACCGGCCACACUGGGACUGAGACACGGCCCAGACUCCUACGGGAGGCAGCAGUGGGGAAUAUUGCACAAUGGGCGCAAGCCUGAUGCAGCGACGCCGCGUGAGGGAUGACGGCCUUCGGGUUGUAAACCUCUUUCAGUAGGGAAGAAGCGAAAGUGACGGUACCUACAGAAGAAGCACCGGCUAACUACGUGCCAGCCGCCGCUGUAA
rnacentral:rRNA from 1 species